GCCCAGGUGGCGGAAUUGGCAGACGCGCAUGAUUCAGGUUCAUGUGGGGUCACACCCAUGGAGGUUCAAGUCCUCUCCUGGGCA
rnacentral:tRNA from 1 species